AGUAGCGGCGAGUGAAGCGGCAAAAGCUCAAAUUUGAAAUCUGGCACCUUCGGUGUCCGAGUUGUAAUUUGAAGAUUGUAACCUUGGGGUUGGCUCUUGUCUAUGUUUCUUGGAACAGGACGUCACAGAGGGUGAGAAUCCCGUGCGAUGAGAUGCCCAAUCCUAUGUAAGGUGCUUUCGAAGAGUCGAGUUGUUUGGGAAUGCAGCUCUAAGUGGGUGGUAAAUUCCAUCUAAAGCUAAAUAUUGGCGAGAGACCGAUAGCGAACAAGUACAGUGAUGGAAAGAUGAAAAGAACUUUGAAAAGAGAGUGAAAAAGUACGUGAAAUUGUUGAAAGGGAAGGGUUUGAGAUCAGACUCGAUAUUUUGUGAGCCUUGCCUUCGUGGCGGGGUGACCCGCAGCUUAUCGGGCCAGCAUCGGUUUGGGCGGUAGGAUAAUGGCGUAGGAAUGUGACUUUGCUUCGGUGAAGUGUUAUAGCCUGCGUUGAUGCUGCCUGCCUAGACCGAGGACUGCGAUUUUAUCA
rnacentral:rRNA from 1 species